GCCAUUGUAGACUCAAAACAAUUUUCUCUGUCCUGUAGGUAAAUCUCAAGAGGACCUGGUAUCAAACAUCAGCCAGAAAUGGAAAUGUCAUUGGAGUAAAAAAUCUACUUUAUAAAAUCUAUACAAGAAUCCCCUUCAGCACAUCAAUGACAGUUUGAAGACAACAAACCCAGAACCCAACAAUUUAAGAAAUACAUGAGCAAUAAACUAAAGAAGAUCGAGAGUAAACGUACCGCUCGACAAGUGCUUUUCCUUGAAGAAGGGAGAGAACGAAAGAGGAAAAUGAAAAUAAUCAACAUGCACGCCUGGUGCUUUGCAUGAGUUAUAUAACCCAGAUGCUGGCCUUGGAUGAAAGAGGGUUGGAAGUUCACAUACCAGUUCCAAGACAACGCACAAGAAGAAAACUUUUAAAUCCUGCUUUAUAAGCUGAACACGUUCAAUGUUGCAAAGUCAACUGAAGCUAGAUUGAGGAAAGGAAUAACCCAUGCCAUUUACUGAGUAAGAUGACUGAAUAGUUUAAACAGAACUAGAAAUUAAGAAGUGAGAGAUAACAGUGACAGCAUUCUUGAAAGUUGCACUUGAAAAGAGCUCCAGCAAAACCUGCAGUGAUGAUGAUGUCAGAUGAUAACUCUGGAUCACCUUAGGACAUACUGAAAUUUUAAUAACAACAAGUGUUUUUUUUAACGAAAACACUACAAUAAAUCUUGGACAAUGUAAAUUCUGGGCAAUCCAAUUCAGCCACCGUUUAGAAGGACUGUAAGAAUUAUCCUCCCCUCAGGUGGAAUGUCACAUCUGAUGAGUGUCAUGGACGCUUCAAAAAGGAAAGUGGAAAUGUACUGCAAACUAAACUGAAAUGUCCUGUGAGUUAUUUCAGAUUGUGAACAUGAUAUUGUCUAGGUAAGAAACGUCUGUUUUUUUUCACCUCAAGAAUACAGAAAAAUAGUGGUUAAAAGCAUGUUUCAGUGCAGUUCUUUGUGUGCUCGUGAGUGAAGGUGCGAGUCGUGAAGGUCACAACUGAAAAAAUCCCUAGUCACCUCAGUGCUGUACAUAAAAAAGAAAGUCACUAUCUCUUUUCACUGGAAGCCAGAAAGAAAGUAAAACUGCAAUCAGAGAGACAAACAUAUUUUGGCUCAACUGCAAAGCAACACAUUUUGAAAUCAAUGCUCACUUCUCAACAUUAGGGCUAUCAUAAUCACCAAUGCAAUGCCAAAACAUCUCAUUGUCUACUCUUCAUGGAAUUCAGAGACUGACCCAUUGACCUAUUAAACUUGUUUUUAAUCAUUUUGGACUCUUUGUUUACUCCAUGUCU